CCUACGGGGGGCUGCAGUGGGGAAUUUUGGACAAUGGGGGCAACCCUGAUCCAGCCAUUCCGCGUGAGUGAAGAAGGCCUUCGGGUUGUAAAGCUCUUUUGUCCGGAGCGAAACGGGCGGCCCUAAUACGGUCGUCUACUGACGGUACCGGAAGAAUAAGCACCGGCUAACUACGUGCCAGCAGCCGCGGUAAUACGUAGGGUGCGAGCUUUAAUCGGAAUUAGUGCAGGUGAAUUUUUCAGCGGCGGGUGAAGUCCCCGGGCUCAACCUGGGAAUGGCAUUUGGGACUGCAAGGCUGGAGUGUGGCAGAGGGGACUAGAAUUCCUGGUGUAGCAGUGAAAUGCGUAGAUAUCAGGAGGAAUACCGAUGGCGAAGGCAGGUCCCUGGGUUAACACUGACGCUCAUGCACGAAAGCGUGGGGAGCAAACAGGAUUAGAUACCCUAGUAGUC
rnacentral:rRNA from 1 species